rnacentral:misc_RNA from 1 species
GAUGAAGAACGCAGCGAAAUGCGAUACGUAAUGUGAAUUGCAGAAUUCAGUGAAUCAUCGAAUCUUUGAACGCAUAUUGCGCUCUCUGGUAUUCCGGAGAGCAUGCUUGUUUGAGUAUCAGUAAACACCUCAACUCCCUUUUCUUUUUUGAAAUUGGAGCUGGACUUGAGUGAUCCCAACGCUUUCUUCCAAGAAAGUGGCGGGUUGCUUGAAAUGCAGGUGCAGCUGAACUUUUCUCUGAGCUAUAAGCAUAUCUAUUUAGUCUACCUAAAAAACAGAUUAUUACCUUUGCUGCAGCUAACAUAAAGGAGACUAGUUCUUGUGCUGACUGAUGCAGGAUUCACAGAGACAGCUUCGGCUGACUUUGUAAACUCGAUCUCAAAUCAAGUAAGACUACCCGCUGAACUUAAGCAUAUCAAUAAGCGGAGGA